CUGAAACCGAAAGACAGGCUGGUCAGUACUGUCCGCUUCCCCAUCUCCUACUGUAUGUUGCCCGAGCUGAGAUAUACAGAAGCUAGAACCAGAGGACAAGAGCUGCACACCCUGGAUGGUCUGAGAGGUUUUUAGUGGACUGUGAAAAACAGCUGAUGCUCCCAAAACACAUGUACAAAACCCCAUCCCUUUGAGUGAGUCCUGGCUCCAUCGGGUGGAGACUUACAUGCCCAAAAAGGCACAUCUUAACUGAAGAAUCACUCACAUUAAUGCAGUGGAUCACAUGCUUGACCUUAAUUUUUUUCCAAAUGACAUGGAGUGUUUAAUUUUCUGAGAGCUCACACAGACAAAAUUCAUAUGAUGUAUAAUGUUGGUUUUAAAAAGUAGUCAUGAUUUCAUUAUGUACUGUACUACAUUGAACAAAAGAUUACAUCCGUACUACCAAUAUUUUACAUGUUAUCUUUCACUGUUCAACCUUGGGUAUAGGAUUUAGCAUUGUGUCUCCUGGACACAUUUUUCCAUAAAGUAUAACUACUCCUCACUAUCUUGUGGUGUGACAGACUUUGUUUUAUUUUAUUUUUUUAUCCAGAGAAAGUGCUAUCCAAAUUUGGAUCUAAUAUAUGUGUUACAAUACUCAAUACUGCCCCAAUCUUUAUAUAGUGCUGCCAUGCUAGACAUCUAUCUUUGAUAGUCUUUCCUAUCUAAUCAUCCGAAUCCAUUUGGAUCCAUUAUUUACUUACACUUAUCACUUAAACUUAUCAGCCCAUAUGCAACACCAACAUUAAAUAAAUGUGAGCCUGCACUAGUAUUUAGAGACUAAUUCUUAAUGGGUAUUGUAUUUGCUGUAUUUACCAUGCUAUUGCUUUGUCUAAACUCCUUUUUAAAUCUAC